GACGAACGCUGGCGGCGUGCUUAACACAUGCAAGUCGAACGGAAAGGCCCCUUUGGGGGUACUCGAGUGGCGAACGGGUGAGUAACACGUGAGUAACCUGCCCUUGACUUCGGGAUAACUUCAGGAAACUGGGGCUAAUCCCGGAUAGGAAUCCUUGCUGCCUGGUGGGUGUUGGAAAGCUUCGGCGGUUUGGGAUGGACUCGCGGCUUAUCAGCUUGUUGGUGGGGUAGUGGCUUACCAAGGCUUUCACGGGUAGCCGGCCUGAGAGGGCGACCGGCCACAUUGGGACUGAGAUACGGCCCAGACUCCUACGGGAGGCAGCAGUGGGGAAUAUUGCAAAAUGGGCGGAAGCCUGAUGCAGCAACGCCGCGUGCGGGAUGACGGCCUUCGGGUUGUAAACCGCUUUCAGCAGGGGCGAAGCUUGUGGUGACGGUACCUGCAGAAGAAGCACCGGCUAACUACGUG
rnacentral:rRNA from 1 species